UUAUUUACCUGGCAGAGGAGAUACCAUGAUCCCGAAGGUGGUUUUCCCAGAAUGAGGCUUAUUCAUUGUACCCCAGAUGUGCUGACCCCUGCGAUUUCUCCACAUGUGGGAAAAUUGACUGCAUAAUUUGUGGUAGUGGGGGACUGCGCUUGCACUCUCCCAUG